GAGUUUGGAUCUGGCUCAGGACGAACGCUGGCGGCGUGCUUAACACAUGCAAGUCGAACGGUAAGGCCUUUCGGGGUACACGAGUGGCGAACGGGUGAGUAACACGUGGGUGAUCUGCCCUGCACUUCGGGAUAAGCCCGGGAAACUGGGUCUAAUACCGGAUAGGACUGCGCGGUGCAUGCCGUGUGGUGGAAAGAUUUCAUCGGUGCAGGAUGGGCCCGCGGCCUAUCAGCUUGUUGGUGGGGUAAUGGCCUACCAAGGCGACGACGGGUAGCCGGCCUGAGAGGGCGACCGGCCACACUGGGACUGAGACACGGCCCAGACUCCUACGGGAGGCAGCAGUGGGGAAUAUUGCACAAUGGGCGCAAGCCUGAUGCAGCGACGCCGCGUGAGGGAUGACGGCCUUCGGGUUGUAAACCUCUUUCAGCAGGGACGAAGCGUGAGUGACGGUACCUGCAGAAGAAGCACCGGCCAACUACGUGCCAGCAGCCGCGGUAAUACGUAGGGUGCAAGCGUUGUCCGGAAUUACUGGGCGUAAAGAGCUCGUAGGCGGUUUGUCGCGUCGUCUGUGAAAACCAGCAGCUCAACUGUUGGCUUGCAGGCGAUACGGGCAGACUUGAGUAUUUCAGGGGAGACUGGAAUUCCUGGUGUAGCGGUGAAAUGCGCAGAUAUCAGGAGGAACACCGGUGGCGAAGGCGGGUCUCUGGGAAAUAACUGACGCUGAGGAGCGAAAGCGUGGGUAGCGAACAGGAUUAGAUACCCUGGUAGUCCACGCCGUAAACGGUGGGCGCUAGGUGUGGGUUUCCUUCCACGGGAUCCGUGCCGUAGCUAACGCACUAAGCGUCCACCGC
rnacentral:rRNA from 1 species